GACGAACGCUGGCGGCGUGCCUAAUACAUGCAAGUAGAACGCUGAAGAGAGGAGCUUGCUCUUCUUGGAUGAGUUGCGAACGGGUGAGUAACGCGUAGGUAACCUGCCUUGUAGCGGGGGAUAACUAUUGGAAACGAUAGCUAAUACCGCAUAACAAUGGAUGACACAUGUCAUUUAUUUGAAAGGGGCAAUUGCUCCACUACAAGAUGGACCUGCGUUGUAUUAGCUAGUAGGUGAGGUAACGGCUCACCUAGGCGACGAUACAUAGCCGACCUGAGAGGGUGAUCGGCCACACUGGGACUGAGACACGGCCCAGACUCCUACGGGAGGCAGCAGUAGGGAAUCUUCGGCAAUGGGGGCAACCCUGACCGAGCAACGCCGCGUGAGUGAAGAAGGUUUUCGGAUCGUAAAGCUCUGUUGUAAGUCAAGAACGAGUGUGAGAGUGGAAAGUUCACACUGUGACGGUAGCUUACCAGAAAGGGACGGCUAACUACGUGCCAGCAGCCGCGGUAAUACGUAGGUCCCGAGCGUUGUCCGGAUUUAUUGGGCGUAAAGCGAGCGCAGGCGGUUUGAUAAGUCUGAAGUUAAAGGCUGUGGCUCAACCAUAGUUCGCUUUGGAAACUGUCAAACUUGAGUGCAGAAGGGGAGAGUGGAAUUCCAUGUGUAGCGGUGAAAUGCGUAGAUAUAUGGAGGAACACCGGUGGCGAAAGCGGCUCUCUGGUCUGUAACUGACGCUGAGGCUCGAAAGCGUGGGGAGCGAACAGGAUUAGAUACCCUGGUAGUCCACGCCGUAAACGAUGAGUGCUAGGUGUUGGAUCCUUUCCGGGAUUCAGUGCCGCAGCUAACGCAUUAAGCACUCCGCCUGGGGAGUACGACCGCAAGGUUGAAACUCAAAGGAAUUGACGGGGGCCCGCACAAGCGGUGGAGCAUGUGGUUUAAUUCGAAGCAACGCGAAGAACCUUACCAGGUCUUGACAUCCCGAUGCUAUUUCUAGAGAUAGAAAGUUACUUCGGUACAUCGGUGACAGGUGGUGCAUGGUUGUCGUCAGCUCGUGUCGUGAGAUGUUGGGUUAAGUCCCGCAACGAGCGCAACCCCUAUUGUUAGUUGCCAUCAUUCAGUUGGGCACUCUAGCGAGACUGCCGGUAAUAAACCGGAGGAAGGUGGGGAUGACGUCAAAUCAUCAUGCCCCUUAUGACCUGGGCUACACACGUGCUACAAUGGUUGGUACAACGAGUUGCGAGUCGGUGACGGCAAGCUAAUCUCUUAAAGCCAAUCUCAGUUCGGAUUGUAGGCUGCAACUCGCCUACAUGAAGUCGGAAUCGCUAGUAAUCGCGGAUCAGCACGCCGCGGUGAAUAAGGUCCCGGGCCU
rnacentral:rRNA from 1 species